rnacentral:rRNA from 1 species
CCGGCACGGGUGAGUAACGCGUAUGCAACUUGCCUAUCAGGAGGGGAUAACCCGGCGAAAGUCGGACUAAUACCGCAUGAAGCAGGGGCCCCGCAUGGGGAUAUUUGCUAAGAUUCAUCGCUGAUAGAUAGGCAUGCGUUCCAUUAGGCAGUUGGCGGGGUAACGGCCCACCAAACCGACGAUGGAUAGGGGUUCUGAGAGGAAGGUCCCCCACAUUGGUACUGAGACACGGACCAA